GAUGAACGCUGGCGGCGUGCCUAAUACAUGCAAGUCGAGCGAACGGACGAGAAGCUUGCUUCUCUGAUGUUAGCGGCGGACGGGUGUGUAACAUGUGGAUAACCUACUUAUAAGACUGGGAUAACCUCGGGAAACCGGAGCUAAUACCGGAUAAUAUUUUGAACCGCAUUGUUCAAAAGUGAAAUACGGUCUUGCUGUCUCUUAUAGAUGGUUCCGCGCUGCUUUAGCUAGUUGGUAAGGUAACGGCUUAUCAAGGCAACGAUGCGUAGCCGACCUGGGAGGGUGAUCGGCGACAUGGGAACGGAGACACGGUCCAGACUCCUACGGGAGGCAGCAGUAGGGAAUCUUCCGCAAUGGGCGAAAGCCUGACGGAGCAACGCCGCGUGAGUGAUGAAGGUCUUCGGAUCGUAAAACUCUGUUAUUAGGGAAGAACAUAUGUGUAAGUAACUGUGCACAUCUUGACGGUACCUAAUCAGAAAGCCACGGCUAACUACGUG
rnacentral:rRNA from 1 species